rnacentral:lncRNA from 1 species
UAUUUGUUAAUUUUCCUUUAAAUAUUUAAAUUAAAACACAAUACUUCUGUACCAUAUUACAAAAGUUCUAAAAAUAAAUUGAAAUUACACGUACUUGUAAAUUCCGCUGCUUGAAGAAAAAUCCACUGCAAACGCUCUAGCUUUGGCCCUCUGUUGUUUUCAAUUGUUCACACAAAAUUUACUGUCACUUCUUCACUUUUGUAAUUUUUUUAUUUAUGUACGUAUAUUUUAUUUAAAUACACAAUAACUAUUUUCUUAAAAUUAUUUCAUCGCUUUACAAGUAUAUUUAUUUUAUUUUUUUUUUAGUUUUCAAAGCAAAUAUAACUCUUGAGCACAGACACACAGAAAUUCGAAAAACUCAUUGAUAUGCACGCCGUUAACUAUUUUACGCCACUUCAAAUACUACUUCUUACUUUCUUGCUCUUCCUGCCGUAACAACGAUCCUUUCGAAAGUAAACGUCGUCGCUAAGUCACACACCGACUGACGGUGCGCGUAAACUGGUUCGUCGCUUUAUAGGCUGCGAGUGUGUGUCGAUCAAGUUGAAGAGCCAAUAAACGACGAAGCAACACAGCAAAAGCCCAAACUAACUACCAACCAACUCUCACACCCACCACAACAGCAUGCAUCGAUCGAUGGCCGAUAAAACGCGGCGUUGCAACAACAAUGAACAAACGAACAACAAACGAAGUCGCAUACGACGACAAAAUAAGUAAAUAAUCACGAGAAGUUCACAAAACAAAACGAUUUGAUUACGCCGGCAACAAGUGUUAUGAGAUCAAUACGCUCUAACUAGUACUCUGUAUUCGCCAAUGCAUAAGUAUGCGUGCAAAUACUCGUAAAUAAAAAGUAAUUGACUACUUCGGAGCGAACAAAAAACCGUAAGCUGUAAAGGCAAAACCGACGAACAAAGCGAAAGCAACAUGCAGCGCCACGCAACCGUUUGAUUAUGGAGAGUAACCGAGUAGCCGAGCACAGCAAUAGUGUGAGCAGCGCAGCAGCCACAUACUGAGUAUGCGCCAAAAAGGCGAUUGUGCGACCGACAACACGAUUGCCAAACGACAAUGCCUGUGUGUGUGUGUUGGCGAUGCCACAAAACAGACAAGCGCCAAUCGAACACACACACAGUGGAGUCGGCACGCGUGCAGUGAAGCCAGCAAGCCAGACUAGCAGCAGCACACCGGAGUCAUUCUUCAGCGAAACUCAGCUGCACGCCAGUCAGCCAGAACGCCAACCAGCCACCGAGCCACUCAGCCAGCCAGCCAGCUAGUCAAGUAACCAAGCAAACAGCCAACGAACGCAGCAACGAGCAACCAUUGAGCAUUCAACCAGGCUACACAGUCGCCAAUAUAAACUGGAGCAACGCACGUACGCUUCGCGCAAAAAUAGUAACAGCGACGACAGCAAAACAAAAGCCAAAGCUACAAAAAACACUCACUCACAACAAAACACUCUCACGCGCCGCGCCACGAUGCCGUUGCAGCACUCGUAGCUGCUGCUGCUGGAGAAACAAUGAGAUAUCCCGACAAAGGAUAACAGCCCUUGGAACACGUACACAUACAAAAGCGUACGAAGUUCAAAGCUUUUAUACGUAGCGCGUUUGACAAACGCCGAACAGCUGGUGGAUGCACAGU